rnacentral:rRNA from 1 species
CAGUCGCCACGGGAAUACGUAAGGUGCAAGCGUUAAUCGGAAUUACUGGGCGUAAAGCGUGCGCAGGCGGUCCGCUAAGACAGAUGUGAAAUCCCCGGGCUUAACCUGGGAACUGCAUUUGUGACUGGCGGGCUAGAGUAUGGCAGAGGGGGGUAGAAUUCCACGUGUAGCAGUGAAAUGCGUAGAGAUGUGGAGGAAUACCGAUGGCGAAGGCAGCCCCCUGGGCCAAUACUGACGCUCAUGCACGAAAGCGUGGGGAGCAAACAGGAUUAGAUACCCGCGUAGUCCCUGUCUCUUAUAC